rnacentral:ncRNA from 1 species
AACGUGCUCCGGGGUCGGUGUAAGUCCGAACCGGCGGUUAUAGUCCGCGACCCGUCGCCACGGAUUCCGCAAGGAAUUCAGGGCAACGGUUGAGCCGGUGAAAUUCCGGUACCGACAGUUAAAGUCUGGAUGGGAGAAGCACGUG